AGAAAUUCUAUGAAGAGAAAAAGUAAGUAGUAUUUUUGUUCCAAAGAGAGUUGGCAUUUUGCUGAAAGCCAAUGUUCAAUAUACAACUGAAAAUCAUCUCUGAGAAGCAACGCCGAAAUAUUUUAGUAGGUUUUGCCGGAGUCUUUCACCGUUAAAAGAAAAGCGUAUUGUUAGAUACGUAUCUAAGUGUUGUAAUUGAAUCUAUUAAUGUAUUGUUUUUAGAUUUGUUUACAGAAUUAGGGUGGUAACGCGGUUUAACCCGUCCCUUGU
rnacentral:ncRNA from 1 species